AAAGAGAUGAUGAAUUCGGUUAUAGUACAUUGUUGUUAUUGUUGUUGUAUUAAAAAUAUUUUACAUAAUUGUUUUAGCAUCCAACCAAUGGACUAGAUGAGUAGCCAAUUCAGUUGUUCAGUGUUAUACGAUUUUCGACUUAGGCGAUUACAGUUAUUAUUUGGUGUUUAAUAUAUUUACAUGUGACACUAAUAAAUCCAUAGAAAUAUGAAUCUUGAUACCUACCGGAAGAAGCAUAUUCUCCAGGAUGCACCCAGCUUCCUAUUUGCGGCGUUGAAAGAAAGAGUACAGCCAAAUAUUAAUUAAGCCAAGUCGGAACAUCACAGCAUAGCAAACGGUAAUUUGUGAUGAGAGAGUUUCACAGCAAAGCAAAAGAGUUUUCGUUGUGUUAUUAUUUAACAUAACAGUAUCAAUUCAAGUGCGUGCAUGUUUGGGGGCGUGUAGACAAGCAGGUCGGAAACAUUUCAAUAUAUGGCAAUUUCAAGCAGCACGCGGACGCAUAAUAAGAAAAAAUAAAUACAAAGAUUUUUGAUUACUUCUUCCUUUGAAAAAGUUCGGUUCGGCCUUAGAAAUCCAUGUUCGGUCUUAUCUAAUUACAAGCAAUGCUGCUAAAACAAAGUUGAACUAAAUAUUAACUACUUAGACCUGUCCGCCUGUUGAUGGAAUUCUUGAGCGAAUUGAACGGAAUUUCACCGUCUACAACAGAAACAUGCAAAUGUGCGCAUAAAAGGCAACAAACGAACAACUGUAUUCCCACCGAAUGGAGGAGACCGAGUGCGGUUUAUUGAUUGUAAUGUAACUUGUCAAAAAAAAUAAAACGAUUGCUUGGAGACGCAUAAUGUCAAUGACCAAUUCACAUAUCUCAUAUGCACAUAUAUGUAUGUACAUACACAUACACAUAAAACUACAGAUUGUGUACAUAUCACUUCUUUGAUAAACUUUCUCUGUUAAUUUCUGCACAUUUAUAGCUGCGUUAAAUGGUUUUAUGUAGUAAAGGGUUUUCUGUGUUGUUCCAUCACAAAUUCCUAUUAUGAAAUUGGAAAAAGAAAAACGACGCGGUUAUUCGAAAAGUCC